ACAGAGUCCUAGGCAGCAGCUGAAGACUUGUAGAGUCUGAGAUAUCAACGUGGGGACGAGCAUGGGGAACUCGCCUGGGUGUGCGUGCUUGUUACCUGCCUGUUCAACUCAAUUGUCACACGUUCCUGGGUGCACAAAAUGAUAGAGGAGUUCAGACAAAGAUCGACAGAAAGAGAGAAAGAAUGAAGUUCUGAGAGGUCAGGACAUUUUUUUGUACAAAGGAGGACACUGAGCUGGCUUUGAAGCAUGAAAAGGACCUCCCAGACAGUGGAUGUGGGAACAGGUGUGGGACUUCCAGGCAGACAGACCGACUGGAGACGAGUGUGAUGUGAUGAGCUGUGGAGUGUAGGGGAUGUCACAGAAUAUCACUCUGGAUGGAUGGCUGUUCCUGGGGUGUCCACUGGGAACCAGGCAUGGCACUAGUGCAGCUGUAAUGAUAAGAGUGAGCCUGGCUGAGUUGCAUCCUCCCAAAAUUCAUACACUGAAGUCCUAACCCUCAAUAUUUCAAAAUGUGACUGUAUUUGGAGAUAGAGACUUUAAAGAGGUUAUUAAGUUAGAAUGAGGUCAUUGGGGGGCCCUAAUUCUAUAAGACUGGUGGAGAUGAGGAGAGGAGAGGAAGUUAGAACUCAGGCACAUGCAGAGGAGGACCAUGUGAAGACAUAGGGAGAGGAGAGCCACCUGCAAACCAAGGGGAGAGGCCUCAGGGAAACCAGCCCUGCACUUGCCUUGAUCUUCGAUUCAAGCUCCAGAAUCAAGCUUGAAUCAAUUUCAGCAACGCUAGCAAAUCAAUUUCAGCAAAUCUACUGCAGCCUCCCAGAUGAGGACACUUUGUUUUGGCAGCCCCAGCAAAUUAAUACAGUGGCUGUGAAUGAGGGUCCUGAGGGGAGUAGUCAGGCUAUAUGUGACCGUGACCUGAUUUUACCCUGUAGGUGAGCUCGUUCCAUGGGAGGGCCUGGUGGGUUUUGGAGAAGCAUCUGUGGAUAGAGGUGAGCGUCCUGGGAGGGCUGCAUGGAGGCAUCUACUCAUGUGCAGACAGGGGGGUGAGGGAGAGAAAGGGCCCAGGGGACACUUGGAAUGUGGCGUGGAUGACCAAACUACCCUGAAAUUGGGAUGAAAGAGAUCAUCCCAUUUAGGAUUGGCCUCCCAUUUAGGAUCUCUGUCACUGAACCGCCGGCACGGCCACCUCCCUCCUCCUUGUCUCCUCCACAUGCCCUGUGCAGGCCCAGACUGAAGUUCUGUGGGGACCCAUACACUCCAUGGCUCACCACAUCACGCUCGUCUCCAGCCAGUCCCUCUGCCUGGAGGUCUCACUCCUUUCCCACAUUUGCUAGGUGAAGUCCUUCUCACGCUCCAAAGCCAUCUUAGUGUCCCUUCAUCCAAGAAAACCUGACUCCUCAGAGGUUCAUGCUGUCUGUCCAUCUCUCUCUGAGCUGCUCUACCAUUUUGUGCACCCAGGCUCAUGUGACAAUUGAGUUAAACAGCCUGUGAUGACCCCCAGCACAGUGCUUCAAUGUGUGACAUGCAGCAGAGACCACAGUGAGCCCACCCCUGACCCCCCACACAGGAGCUGCUUUGUGACUGUUUGCUGAGUAAAGUUUGGACAGUGCUGGACGUUGACCUUCUGUGUGAGACACAGACAGGGCUUCCCUGUGACCUUGGACUGGCUGGGUAAACUCCAGAGAAAUAUUUGCCAAGACAGGCAAGGCAUGAUGCAAGGGAAAACACACAGGAGUGCAUGACCCCAUGAAGGGGCCCCUUCAUAAAGAGCCACCCUGAGCCCACAGCACAACUGCAGAGAAAUGUCUGAGUCUGGUUGCUGCCAUCUCCCCUGCCACCAGCCCGCACAUGUGCGAUCUGGGCUCUCAGACCCUGGGCCCUCACUGUCACCAGCGUGGGACCCUGGGAAAGCACUUAUGUUAUUGCCUGUAAAAUGGGAACAAUAAUAGAACUUGCUGGGUUGUCAAGGGAUGGGUGAUAUCACAAGUGCAAAGCAUCUGGCAUGGGCUGGUGCAUGGUGGGGGCUCAGUACUUUGGGGGAUGGACAAGGUUUGGGGUCCUGACCUUGUUACCUCUAGUAGGCACUCACCUCUGAUACAGUCCAGACUCUAGAAUCAGAGGGUGGGGCACAGCCUUAUGGAAGCAUGCUUAGAACAUGCAGGGUGGGGUGAGCAGGCGCACAGAAAAUCAGACUUGGGUGCAGCGAAGGACUCACUCACCCACUCAUUCCAUUCUUGAGUAUCUAAUCCUCUUCAUUCGGCACAUGAGGAAACACAUGGUGCUUGGUGAAGGGAGGGAGGGAACUUAGCUGGCUCAUGGGGGAGCUGGUGCCUGAGAUGUCCCUGAAUGAAGUUUCUGCUCCUGGUCAUCUCUCCUCCACAGCACAGAGCACAGGACUGAGUGUAGGGUUCUUGGUCGCACUCCCCCCGCCAAAUUCUGGCUGCACCACUUAGAAGAUAUGUGACUGGGUAAGCCACCUAACCACUUCAAGCCUUGCCUUUCCCAUCUGUGAAUAACAGAUGGGAUAACAGUGGUGCCUUUCUUCAUGGGAGUCUUAUGAGGGGCAAAUGCGACCAUCCAGGUGAAGGGCCAGGCACCCGGCCUGGAGCAUGGUAAGCUAUCAAUGUCACCAUUCCCAGAGCUGCCUCCAUAAAGACAGUUAUAACCAGUGUUUGCAAAAUGCUUUAUUGUUAAUGCCAACAUAGAAUUCAAAAAGUUAGUCAUUGGCACCUGCAACUGAUACUCUACUAUUUGCAAAAGGCUUCCCUUCUUCCACUCCCAGCCAGGCCCAUCAGAUUAUAACUAUAUCCACAAAAUGAUAUAAUCAAUCAUUAAAUGGGCCAUUUCCACCUUGAUAUCCAGAUGUUUUUCUUAAAGGAUGAAUGGCACUUGAGUGUAUUGAAAUCAACCACGAAUGACAGGGCCCACCCCAGCCUUUCUAUAUGAUUUCAGGAGUUCUUGGGUCACAGCAAGAAUCUGAUCCUUGUAUACAGAGGGAAACUGAGGUCCAGAGAGGGAAAGUGUUGUCCCAAUGUCACACAGCACAUUAGGACUGAAACAGUAGCCCCAUUUCAGACUCCCAUUCCAACAUUU